rnacentral:rRNA from 1 species
CCUUCGGGGGGCAGCAGUAGGGAAUCUUCCACAAUGGGCGCAAGCCUGAUGGAGCAACACCGCGUGCGUGAAGACGGGUUUCGGCUCGUAAAGCUCUGUUGUUGGAGAAGAACGUGCGUGAGAGUAACUGUUCACGCAGUGACGGUAUCAAACCAGAAAGUCACGGCUAACUACGUGCCAGCAGCCGCGGUAGUACGUAGGGGGCAAGCGUUAUCCGGAUGUAUUUGGCGUAAAGGGAGCGCAGGCGGUUGCUUAGGUCUGAGGUGAAAGCCUUCGGCUUAACCGAAGAAGUGCAUCGGAUACCGGGGGGCUAGAGUGCAGUAGCGGACAGUGGAACGUAAGGUGUAGCGGUGGAAUGCAUAGAGAUAAGAAAGAACACCGGUUGCGAAGGCAGCUGACUAGACUACGACUGACGCUGAGGCACGAAAGCAUGGGGAGCGAACAGGAUUAGAUACCCGAGUAGUC